AGUAUAUAUGUAAUGCCGAAGAGAGGUUAGGGUUUCUUUAGGUUUCCGUACUUUCCUGUUGAGCACUGCGGCGCAACUCGCCUUGCUGCGGUUGGUGGUGGCGAUGGAGAUUGCAGCGCGGCUGAAGGGAACCUACUGGGUUGGUGACAUUUACAAGAGAGUCUUGAAGAUUUUCCAGAACGGGAAAGAUUUUGGAAGAACAAAGAGGAACUACAGAAUCAUUGCUUACAUUGACACAAUUGAAUGGGAAGCCAUCAUUCUUUAAAGGGCAAUGACCAAGCAGUACCAGCAGAAAUUGAAGUACCAGCAGAAGGCUAAGAAGGGAUCAUGGCACAAGUUGCAGUUUCCACCCUGCCCAUUGAAGAUGAGGAGUCCAUGGAAGAUGAGGAGUCUGUUGAAGACGAGGAGUCCGUUGAAGAUGAGUCCGCGGAGAGCAGGAUGCUGGUGACAUUGCUCAUAUCAGCUCUUGAGUCCACGGGAGCUUACAGCUUCAUUGCACCAUGUGUGGCAUUUGGGUCCUGUUUGGCAGCAAUGACUGCCUUUCUGUUUAGUGUCUGUGUGCUAUGAAGAUUGCAAACGGGGUCCAGAUGCAUUCUGUUUUGAGAAUGUCAAUGGAUACACUAGCUGCUGCUUUGGAUUUCACCGGUUGGUGGUAGUUGACCCGCUGUUUGGAAUGCAGCCAAUUUAAGUGAAGAAAUAUCCAUACACGUGGCUCUGUUACAAUGGUGAAAUCUACAACCAUAAGAAGGUGCAACACUAUUUUGAAUUUGAAUACCAGACCAAAGUGGAUGGUGAGAUAAUCCUUCGUCUUUAUGACAAAGGAGGAAUUGAGCAAACAAUUUGUGUGUUGGAUGGUGUGUUUGCAUUUGUUUUACUGGAUUCUGCCAAUAAGAAAGUGUUCCUGGGCAGAGAUACAUGAGGAGUCAGACCUUCGUUUAAAGCAGUGACAGAAGAUGGAUUUUUGGCUGUAUGUUCAGAAGCUAAAGUUCUGGAGGCCACAAGUCCAAAAUCAAGGUGUGGGCAGAAAUGCGCUCCCUCUGCAGACUCUUGGGGAGGAUCCUUGCUUCUUCCAGGUCUGCGACUGUGGUUCCUGCAGCCACUGGAACCAGCUCUGCACAGCUCAGACCUGAGUGAUGAGGACACAGCUUCGCAGCAGCUCCUGAAUGUUCCGGAUGAGCUCGGCUUCCUGAGGGAGGAGACGCCCUGAGCACCAGAGCCAGUCCCUGGUGAGGAUCCCAGGAGGCCCAGCUGCUGCAGGCCUUGGUCAACACCUGAGCAACCACAAGGAGUUGAAUGCCGGGCCUGAGCUCUGACUGUGGCGGAGGCAGGUCCUGUGCUGCGGAGGCUGCCCUCAAAGCCAUUCAGGGCCAGGCUGCCUGGCGGAGGCUGGAUGGGCAGGAAGCGCCCCAGGACACAUCGGAGUCCCCCUAACCUGGGGCCAGGGGAGCCCCAGCCUAGGCGCGAUUCCCCACACGGCCAGCGGAGGGCGACGUUGGUCUGGCACUGAGAAGCCUGCGGCUCCUGGCUCGGCCUCCCCUCCGUCUGCCUGGCGCAUGCAGUCCUGGGGACCCCCAGCCCCUCCGGCCUCCUCUUCUCUGAGAGCCCCCCACCAGAAAGUCCUCACUAGGAAGUCCAUACCCUUCCUACAGCACAGACCUCUGGGCCCCUGUUCUCUCCACCUUCACCCCCUCUCCCACCACAGCCCACACCCUCACUCCAGCCACAGGAGCCGGAGCUCCUCCUGGGCCAUUCCCACCACCCCGCCCAGGGUCUCUCCAGCCCCACCAUGUGCCGGCCAGUGCCCUCCUCCUGGACCUGACCUCCCCCCGUCCUGGCCUCUCCCGCGGCCAGAACCCUCAGUCCAUGCUGCUGUCACCACGGUGCGCCUGGCCUGACACAGCCUCCUGAUGGGGCUUUUGAGGACAGCAGCCCGGAGACUUACCCUAACCCAGGCCGAGUCAGAACCUGUGGCAGGCGGCCUGGGAACCUCUUCUUACUGUCCAUCAAAAUUGGGAGGUCAGGGGACCUUCAGGGACUGGUGUGGUCUGAGAAACAUCCUCGAGCCUCGCCAUGACUCAGUUUCCCCAGAUGGCAGCAGGCUGGAGCCCACACGCAGGGCAGGAUGCCAGGCUCCACCUUUUGUCUGGAACCUGCAUUCACUGGGCACCUCUCUUUAGGCAGAGCAGAGCAGAGCUGCCCGUGUUUGUCCCCUGAUCUGUGGCCCCAGGAGCCCGAGAGACCACCUGAGCCAACGAGAAGGCCUCUGGGCCAGAGCCCAGCUCUGCGAAGUGGGAGACUUCUCAGCCUCCACUUCCAGGUGCCCUGAAGUCGUUGGCAGGGGGUGCUGCCUGCUUGGGGCUCCCAGACUAAGGGAACACAUUCAUGUGGUGACCACGAUAGGCCCUGCAGGCUGAGGCACAGGAUUUGACCAAGGACGCAUCAGAGAUAGGAGACUGGGCCCUCACUCCUGCCAGCUGCAAACUCCCAAAGCCCCCAGCCCUCUCAUGGGGUGAAGAUGCCCUGAAGGACACUCCAGUGUGCUCCCACCUCUGGGUUCUGCCAGCCAGAGAGUGGGACCCUCAGGCCACAUGUGUCUUGCUGGAUCUCAGCUUUAGGGACCCAUCGUGCUGGCAGCUCCCUGAGACCUGGGUCAGGGGGUGUCCAUUAGAGCACCUUGGUCAGGACCCAGAGAUGGGGAGGGCAGUUGGCAUCUCCAGAAAGCAGGAGGUGGGGCAUGGCUCUGUGACAGACGUCCCUGUGACAGGGAGGAUUGGAGGGACAGAGGGGCGUGCUCAGGGGCGGAGGGGCAGAUGAGGCCACCAAAGGGCACCUUGAACACUGGAUGGCCCCAGGAAGGCCCUUGAACCCCAUCCUGAUUGAUCCAGGGCCUGUGACCUUGGCCCAGACUGCAGGCCUGGGGACUUGAGUUCCUUUAGUUUCUUAAGAAACUACUAUACUCCUUUUUGGCAUAGCUGUACGAUUUUACAUUCCCACCAGUAAUGUGUGAAAGCUCUAGUUUUUACUCAUGCUCCUCAGCGUUUGAUGUUUUAUUUUUAUUUUAGCUAUUCUGAUAUAUAUGUGUUAGUCAUUGUGGUCUUAAUUUGCAAAUUUCUAAUGACUAAUGAUAUUUAACACCUUUUCUUGUUCAUAAUUAAAUACCAUCUGUAUUCCUUUUCGCAUAUCAUCAACACAACCGUGAAAAAUCAGAACAAAAUUUUUCAGACGACUUCAAAAUUUUUAGAACAAUACUCAAGGGAAAAGGUGUUUAUUUAGAACAAUGAAAACAAUGAGACAUUAACUUCCAGGUUAAAUAAAGUUGAUUGUGUGCAU
rnacentral:lncRNA from 1 species